AUUGAACGCUGGCGGCAGGCCUAACACAUGCAAGUCGGGCGAGGGGCGGACGGGUGAGUAAUGUAUGGGGAUCUGCCUGAUGGAGGGGGAUAACUCAUGGAAACGGUAGCUAAUACCGCAUACCCUCAGCUGAACCCAUAUGGGUUUGGCGUGUAGGUAAGGGAACGGUUUACCUAGGCGACGAUCCCUAGCUGGUCUGAGAGGAUGAGCAGACACAGUGGAACUGAGACACGGCCCAGACUCCUACGGGAGGCAGCAGUGGGGAAUAGUGCACAAUGGGCGCAAGCCUGAUGCAGCCAUGCCGCGUGUAUGAAGAAGGCCUUCGGGUUGUAAAGUACUUUCAGUCGGGAGGCGUUACCGACAGAAGAAGCACCGGCUAACUCCGUGCCAGCAGCAGCGGUAAUAC
rnacentral:rRNA from 1 species